AUUGAACGCUGGCGGCAGGCCUAACACAUGCAAGUCGAGCGGAUGAAUGGAGCUUUCUCCUGGAUUCAGCGGCGGACGGGUGAGUAAUGCCUAGGAAUCUGCCUUGUAGUUGGGGAUAACGUCCGUAAACGGGCGCUAAUACCGCAUACGUCCUUAGGGAGAAAGUGAUGGAUCUUCGGACCUCACGCUAUCUGAUGAGCCUAGGUCGUAUUAGCUAGUUGGUGUGGUAAAGGCCUACCAAGGCGACGAUCCGUAACUGGUCUGAGAGGAUGAUCAGUCACACUGGAACUGAGACACGGUCCAGACUCCUACGGGAGGCAGCAGUGGGGAAUCUUGGACAAUGGGCGAAAGCCUGAUGCAGCAAUGCCGCGUGUGUGAAGAAGGUCUUCGGAUUGUAAAGCACUGUAAGUUGGGAGGAAGAAAAGUAAGUUAAUACAUUGAUGUCUUGACGUUACCAACAGAGUAAGCACCGGCUAACUUCGUG
rnacentral:rRNA from 1 species